rnacentral:tRNA from 1 species
GGCUUCGUAGCUCAGCUGGUAGGGCGCACGCCGCAUUGAGGCAUGGUGUUUCUGUCGCUGGUUCAAAUCCAGCGGAAGCCU